rnacentral:misc_RNA from 1 species
UCUCCGUUGGUGAACCAGCGGAGGGAUCAUUACAGAGUUUUCACAACUCCCAACCCUUGCAAACCGUACCCAUUCUGUUCUCGUUGCUUCCGGCGGGGGGGACUGGCGGGCCCGAAACGGCGUCCCCGCCCCGCCCCCCGGGGGCGGCGGGGACUACGAAACUUUAUAUCUCAAAAACCUGAACCCGGCUUAGAAAAGAAACAACAUAAUCAAAACUCUCAACAACGGAUCUCUUCGCGCGGGCAUCGAUGAAUCACGCAGCAGAACCGAAGAUCACCC